rnacentral:miRNA from 1 species
ACUUCUUAUGGAUUGUAGGGA